UGCGGCUUAUGGGUGAUAGUCCCCGAGGGUGCUUUAUACCCUAUGUACCUCAGAAUGCGCAAUUUAGGGGCAAAGGUGUGGAUGGCCUACUAUUACACCAUGCAUUUCCUAGAGGAUGCAGCUUAUGGACGAUUGUCCCGGAGGAUGCUUUAUGCCUUAAGUCUCCUGGAGGAUGCGACUUAGGGGCAAAGACGUGUUUGACCUACUUUGUAGUUUACAUUAUGGGUGGCAUUUUAGACCCAAAAAUCGUAAAAAUCAACUGAAAUUAUACCGCAUUGGGACUGCAAUAGCUAAAAAUCGACCGAAAAUUGUGGUUUUAGAAACCGAACUGCAAUUGAGGUUGCGGUAUGCGAUUUUGGCAACUUGCGGUUACCACAAACCGCAAAUAUAUAUUUUUUAAAAUUGCAUUUUAGUAGUUAGAUGUUGUGUUUUAAUUUGGUUGAGUUUAAUCUAUUAUUAAUAUGCUUUUAUGUUGUUGCUUUUGUGUUGUGUUGUGUUAUAGAUGGAGUCUAGCCACUCUAACACACCUAAUGCCUCUAAUCCCCCAAACACAAACCGAUACACCCAAAACACAACAUCCACUCCAACUCAUAAAGAAGGGCUUCUUAUAAUAAAAUCCACUCACCACCACCUACACUUGAGUUCUCCUUUUGGUUUGUAACUUUAAUUAACUUUGAAUUGGAUUUUUCUUUAGGUUGUGAAUGAUUGAGAAGUUGAGUUUGUGAAUUUAUUUCUUUAGGUUGUAAAUUUAUAUAUGCUUGAGAAGUUGAGGUUGAGAAUUUAUUUCUUUAGGUUGUGAAUUUAUAUUUUUUGGUUAAAGUAUGCUUGAACUCAAAAAGCUUCAAAAGAAGCAUCAAACCUAGGCUUAAAAGUGUGGAAG
rnacentral:lncRNA from 1 species